CCUCCCCGCACCGCUCUGUGUGGCCUCGCUUCCCCCCGGGCUCGGGGAGCCGGGAGGUGGCGGAGCGGCGCUGCCCCCAGUCCUCGUCCUCGGGCGGGGUUCCCGAGCACCUCUCACACCGCAAAGCGCGUGUCUAACGCCAGGAUUUUUCUUUUUUCUUUUUGGUCUCUUUUCGAAGCGUUUCCUCCCCCCGUCUCCCCUCCCCCUCGCUCCCAUCGAUCACUGGAGGCAAACAUCGAAUUAAUUGGAUCUUGGUGGCUGAGGCUGGUAACAGUGUAUUGAACGGAGUUAUCUGCCGCAAUGCCCAGGUGUCUGCCAGAAUGUCAGGACAUUCUAGACCAGGUAAAUCCAGAGAACGCCUACCAGAAAAUUAAAAUGAGUGCAACGUUAUACGCGCCAGUUCCAAGUUAUAUUACUGCUAUGUGGGGAGCUAAUACUGACCGGUGCUAACCUACGUGGAAUCUAUACAUUCCAGAGAGAAACUGGAGUUUGCCUUCAGAAGAAGUGCCAUGGAACGGCUAGAUCUGUGCCUUCACAGCGACAGGGCCUGGCACUAUUUUGCAACUUCAUACCUUACUCCUUUAAGUUAAGUGAUUAAUUCUGUGGAAUUAGGUGGUUGUUUAGUGACUCGUAUUACUUACAUUCAUUGUUGCUGAAGACCUCCAAACCAACUGCAUAUUUGUUUCUCUCUUGGAAAACUCAUUUUUGGAUGUGUCCUCUGACAACACCAUGUUAAGUGAAACGGGGCAUGACCACCCCAGCUGAAAAUCUGAACGUUUCAGAAGUUUUUCAAAAAUUUCUCCCUAAUGUGGGUCCACUUAAUAUUCGAAUUAUCAAACAUAGCGUGACAUCAGAUGGCAAGCCAAAACACAUUAAUUCCUGGACUAUAGGCAUAAUCGGGACCCAAUGCAAUGUCCAGUGAUACGGAUGGGAAAUCUACCUUUGGUAGCGGUGGAAGUGGCAUCUGGCCCUUCAUGGCCCAUAGGAUAGGACUAUGCAGGCGGCUUUAAUUUCACGCCGAUCUCCAGUAUUUGUAACAUUUGGAAUUAAAAUGUAGAAUUAAACUGAAUUAGUUUACCAGCGCAGUUUUGUGCCGGGGCUUAGCAGCAAUCUAGUGGGCAUUAGGAACGAAUGUCGUUCAUUUCGUGUUCCUAAGCGCAGCAAAAUGACCUUUGGUACACUCCUCUGAGAGCAGUGUUAGAAAGAAAAGAGGGAGAAGGAAAGACAGAAGGAGAGGGAAAAAAAAAGAUUCCUCACUCUCAGGAUUGGGUAGCGGAUCUAUAACUAAUGAGCCAUGAGGUCAUAUAUCAGUAAUUAACACGCAUCUGACGUCCUGCGCAUUCCCAGCGCGGCUUUGUUCAGGCAGUAUGACUCGAAGCACGGACCGGUGCGGACGGGGCCGGCUCGUGGGGCACGAGGGUCUCCCCCUGCUCUGCGGGCAAAAAGGGAAAGCAGCGGAAGCAGCGGGGAGGGGAGAGGGGAACGGACGACAAAGGCGAGAGGUGCGCUGCCAGUCAGUGGGGCAGGGCUCGUCAGAGGGCUGGGAAACAGCCCCGUCCCGCCGCAGGAAUAGUGCCGUCCUGCAAUAACCUACCGCAACGCCACUUCCUCCGCAACUAAAACACGCGCAAAAUGGGCACGGGGGAUAGCAGAGACCUAUCAGUUUCCUGAUGUAGUUGUGCUAAUAAAUAAACCUUCUCGAUGUUUAAAACACUCUAUCUGUCACAUUCACAAGAUAGGUACUGUAAAUUCCUGUUGCAAAUAUACAAACAGAGAUCCAAGAGGUUGCCUCUGUUUUUGUAUCUCUCUCUCACAAGAAAUGCACUAUCAAAACAUUAAUUAUAUUUGAAAGGGAGCAGAUUAUUUGUUUGAGAAAGAAUUACAUUCUUGAAUUUAUAUUCCGCACAGAUCUCUCCUCCUGUCUGCCGGGAGGGCUGAACUGUAAAUCUGUCUCGAGUGAUGCACCCUACACCGUGGGUAGGUGCGUCACUUCGGAGCCGGAGAGAGAUGGGAGCUCAUCCGAGGAGCUUUCAGACACCUCCGUGGGAUGGGUCGUUAGGGAGUGUCGGAAUCCACACGAAAUUGCAGAUCUAACAUGUGAGGAACAUAAAGCCCCGCUCUCUGACAGUGGGAGCGCAAACACGCAGACACGCGGGACUGAGCCUGGUGCUUGCUGAGCACUGUGACUCACGGCUUUGGGCCUCGGUGCUGGUUUGCAAAAUGCCUCACACACGUCCUGCUGCAGUCGAUAGCCGGAAAGCUACCGACCGUGUGAGUCAUGAGCCGUCAGCAAAAGACUUCGCCCGCUCUUCCAGCGCCUAAUAAAAGAAUUAAACAGAUGCCCUUAUCUUCUUCUGAAGAAAAACGAAAGAAAGAAAGAAAAUGUGGCAAUGCACUGUGACUUUCUCAGGAGCGCUGAAAUCCUGCCCCUGGGAUCUGGUUCUUCCCCUCUCCACCGCCGUGCGGCAUUCCCUAUAGCGUACGCCUACCGCCAGGCGCCCUUAAGCAUCUCAACAGAAUUGCUCUUUGGCAUCGAAACUGCUGGCUGCGGCUGAUGCCACGAGUCCGCGCAGAAAAGUGGCCAGGGCUUUUCUCACGGCUGGAGAAGCGUGUCCAUAAAUCGAUAGAUUCUCUCGGUGUGGAACCCGGGGGAGGGGGUCCCGAACAGGCGACCCCUUUUCUCUGUUCUUGUGUUGCCCGAGUCUCUGAGCGGCUUUCCCGAGCGCUGGGACGGCCGAGACACGGGGCCGGGGGGUCGGGGCCGUGCCUGGACUGCGCUCUGCUUAUGGUCGGAGAUUUGUGGGAGUAGAGAGAACCCUGACAGCCAGAGUGGGACCUGGCCGGGAGCGGGCUCCGUGAUGGAGGAUGGCUGCAUGCUCGUGAUGCGAAGGGCGGAACAGGACAGCGCGCUGGCACCGAGAGC
ensembl:lncRNA